UUGAAGGAGAAAGCAGCAAGGCUGGAGAAAGGGAGGCCAGUUAGAAUUAAAACAAGGUGAGACAAAGAUGUGGACAACAGCAGCUAGGAUAGUUGAAGAGAUAUUUAGGGGCAAAUGUGACAGGUCCUGGUGACGAGGGGAGUAAGCCUCCCACACUUCUGGUUGGGGCAACUGGACACUUGGGGCCAUGCACUGCAAAAGAUCUGACCUUUACCUCACAAAGGUGUUGGCACUGAGAAGACACAAUGCAAAGUUUCUCCGCUACCAAAGUGCUGAAUUCAAGAUAGCUCCCAUGAAGAGACACCACUAUUUCUAGUCCCAGCUCUGGGUCCCGCAUGUUCUUUCCUGGCCGUCCUGGAACCGGGAUGGGAUUAGAGGGCCUCUCUAAUCCCAUGCUCAUGAAUGCUAUCUCAGUUUCUAGGGAAAAGGUUAAGAGAUACAUUCACUGCAAAGUAGAAUUGAUCUUUCGAAACCAUCAAGUGGGCUUGCAAUGAAGGAGGAAGCUGGUGCCCGGCAAAAACAAAGAAACUUCUGCUCUGUGCGCAGGUCGUCAGCAUAAGGCACCGAAUCCCAUUUUCAUAGAAGAAACACAUGAGAACUGGCUCUCCUGACACCAGCGCUGACAUUUCCCUGAAAUUCUUAUGACUUUGUCAUCAACCCACAUAUUUUCAAAACAAA